CUAUUCACCCGUUGACCCAAUCGGUUCAACCAAUAAUAAUUUUUGUUAGACAUGGGGAACAUAGUCAUAAAGAGCCUAGCUCCACUUCUUGGACACUUUGCAAACUAAUUUUACUGCUAAAAAGACCUUCUUUAAAACCUUUUAAUACAAUGACAUAUAGACUGUGAAGAAACAUAGUUCUUUAAUCUUUUUAAUUAAUGACUUCCAACACUUGACUCCUACAUGUAAAAUAACUAGAAGAGUGACAAUGACUACCGUCACCCAAAGAACAUUGUCUCCACAAAUUGUAAAUUGUGAAUUCGACUGCAUCUUGGUCCGCUUACUUUUAUAAAAAAAAGUUUUAAGCAUCGUGUAAGCGAAAGACGGGAUCACAUGCGUGCCCCCUGAAAGGAUGUUGGCUAAAUAAAAAAAGAUAAUCUCCAUACGUUACUUUUCUUCAAAGCAAGAUGAUCGAUAAAUCAUAAUCCCUGGUAACAGUUGAUUUUCUUCAUUCCUUUUCCCAGUUUCAACGAGUGCAAGUUAUAACGAGGGAUGUAAAUGUGUGAUCUGAGAUCCUUGGAUAUCUGACGA
rnacentral:lncRNA from 1 species